rnacentral:rRNA from 1 species
UACGUAGGGGGCAAGCGUUGUCCGGAUUUACUGGGCGUAAAGCGUACGUAGGCGGCUUUGUAAGUUAGAGGUGAAAGCCCGGGGCUCAACUCCGGAAUUGCCUUUAAGACUGCAUCGCUUGAAUCAUGGAGAGGUGAGUGGAAUUCCGAGUGUAGAGGUGAAAUUCGUAGAUAUUCGGAAGAACACCAGUGGCGAAGGCGACUCACUGGACAUGUAUUGACGCUGAGGUACGAAAGCGUGGGGAGCAAACAGG